UACAGAGGUCCCAAGCGUUGUUCGGAUUCAUUGGGCGUAAAGGGUGCGUAGGUGGCGCCGUAAGUCAGGUGUGAAAUCUCGGGGCUUAACUCCGAAACUGCAUUUGAUACUGCGGUGCUUGAGGACUGGAGAGGAGACUGGAAUUUACGGUGUAGCAGUGAAAUGCGUAGAGAUCGUAAGGAAGACCAGCGGCGAAGGCGGGUCUCUGGACAGUUCCUGACACUGAGGCACGAAGGCCAGGGGAGCAAACGGG
rnacentral:rRNA from 1 species